AAGGGAGACCUAAUUCCAGUAGGAGACGAAAAAAAGUAGUCCCUACCAAGAAUCAAUCCCAAAAGGUCGGAGCGAGGCAAAAUUGGCUUUCAAACUAGGUUCUGGGUUCACACAAGACCUGGAUCAGGAGCAAGGGCUAUUAGCUCAGGUGGUUAGAGCGCACCCCUGAUAAGGGUGAGGUCCCUGGUUCGAGUCCAGGAUGGCCCACCUGCACAGGUGGCAAAAACAAGAGAAGCGAGGAAUCAGCACCUUAUCUUAUAUACAUAUAUAAGAGAGAAUGCUGGCUCUGAGUACAGAGUCCAGAGGAACCUUGAAAACUGCAUAGAGCUAGGUGAAAAAGCCAAAAAAGAAGACCGCAAGGUCAAGCUAAUAAGGGCUAACGGUGGAUACCUAGGCAC
rnacentral:tRNA from 1 species